GGAGGCAGCAGUGGGGAAUCUUAGACAAUGGGGGCAACCCUGAUCUAGCCAUGCCGCGUGAGUGAUGAAGGCCUUAGGGUCGUAAAGCUCUUUCGCCUGUGAUGAUAAUGACAGUAGCAGGUAAAGAAACCCCGGCUAACUCCGUGCCAGCAGCCGCGGUAAUACGGAGGGGGUUAGCGUUGUUCGGAAUUACUGGGCGUAAAGCGCGCGUAGGCGGAUUAGAAAGUUGGGGGUGAAAUCCCGGGGCUCAACCUCGGAACUGCCUCCAAAACUGCUAGUCUAGAGUUCGAGAGAGGUGAGUGGAAUUCCGAGUGUAGAGGUGAAAUUCGUAGAUAUUCGGAGGAACACCAGUGGCGAAGGCGGCUCACUGGCUCGAUACUGACGCUGAGGUGCGAAAGUGUGGGGAGCAAACAGGAUUAGAUACCCUGGUAGUCCACACCGUAAACGAUGAAUGCCAGUCGUCGGGUAGUAUACUAUUCGGUGACACACCUAACGGAUUAAGCAUUCCGCCUGGGGAGUACGGUCGCAAGAUUAAAACUCAAAUGAAUUGACGGGG
rnacentral:rRNA from 1 species